AUAUUAUGAUGGUUGCAUAGUUCAGCAGAUUGAUUCCUGAGGAGAUGUAGCAUUUGUCUGAUGUGUCU